rnacentral:rRNA from 1 species
GAUCAUGGCUCAGGACGAACGCUGGCGGCGUGCCUAACACAUGCAAGUCGAACGAAAUUACGAAGAAAGCUUGCUUUAAUCGUAAUUUAGUGGCGGACGGGUGAGUAACGCGUGAGGACUUGUCGGAUACAGGGGGACAACAGAUGGAAACGUCUGCUAAUACCCCAUAAGCCUUCGGGUAAAAGGAGCAAUCCGGUAUUUGAGAGACUCGCGUUCUAUCAGCUAGUAGGUGGGGUAACGGCCCACCUAGGCCAAGACGGA